rnacentral:sRNA from 1 species
UAAAAUGCAUGUUUCCAUGUUCAGCCUG